CACUCUCUCACCCACCCUCGCUCUCCUGCUCACUGUGAGGAGCAGUGUUCCUUCUUCCCUGGCUGCAGAAGCAGAAGCAGCUAGAGCAACAUGACAGGCAUGGAGCAAGGGUCCCGCCAGCACUGGCCUAUUUUCAUACUGUGGAGGAGUAUACCAUAUCAUGCCAUCCGAAUAAAACAAAUGGUACGAAGACACAGAUUAAAUGACACAAACGGGUACUGCACACCUGAC
rnacentral:lncRNA from 11 species